rnacentral:rRNA from 1 species
GAUGAACGCUGGCGGCGUGCCUAAUACAUGCAAGUCGAGCGAACAGACGAGGAGCUUGCUCCUCUGACGUUAGCGGCGGACGGGUGAGUAACACGUGGUUAACCUACCUAUAAGACUGGGAUAACUUCGGGAAACCGGAGCUAAUACCGGAUAAUAUAUUGAACCGCAUGGUUCAAUAGUGAAGGACGGUUUUGCUGUCACUUAUAGAUGGAUCCGCGCCGCAUUAGCUAGUUGGUAAGGUAACGGCUUACCAAGGCGACGAUGCGUAGCCGACCUGAGAGGGUGAUCGGCCACACUGGAACUGAGACACGGUCCAGACUCCUACGGGAGGCAGCAGUAGGGAAUCUUCCGCAAUGGGCGAAAGCCUGACGGAGCAACGCCGCGUGAGUGAUGAAGGUCUUCGGAUCGUAAAACUCUGUUAUUAGGGAAGAACAAAUGUGUAAGUAACUAUGCACGUCUUGACGGUACCUAAUCAGAAAGCCACGGCUAACUACGUG